AGAGUUUGAUCAUGGCUCAGGAUGAACGCUGGCGGCGUGCUUAACACAUGCAAGUCGAACGAUGAUCCGGUGCUUGCGCCGGGGAUUAGUGGCGAACGGGUGAGUAACACGUGAGUAACCUGCCCUUGACUCUGGGAUAAGCCUGGGAAACUGGGUCUAAUACCGGAUAUGACUCCUCAUCGCAUGGUGGGGGGUGGAAAGCUUUUUGUGGUUUUGGAUGGACUCGCGGCCUAUCAGCUUGUUGGUGGGGUAAUGGCCUACCAAGGCGACGACGGGUAGCCGGCCUGAGAGGGUGACCGGCCACACUGGGACUGAGACACGGCCCAGACUCCUACGGGAGGCAGCAGUGGGGAAUAUUGCACAAUGGGCGAAAGCCUGAUGCAGCGACGCCGCGUGAGGGAUGACGGCCUUCGGGUUGUAAACCUCUUUCAGUAGGGAAGAAGCCCUCUUUGGGGGUGACGGUACUUGCAGAAGAAGCGCCGGCUAACUACGUGCCAGCAGCCGCGGUAAUACGUAGGGCGCAAGCGUUAUCCGGAAUUAUUGGGCGUAAAGAGCUCGUAGGCGGUUUGUCGCGUCUGCUGUGAAAGGCCGGGGCUCAACUCCGGUUCUGCAGUGGGUACGGGCAGACUAGAGUGCAGUAGGGGAGACUGGAAUUCCUGGUGUAGCGGUGAAAUGCGCAGAUAUCAGGAGGAACACCGAUGGCGAAGGCA
rnacentral:rRNA from 1 species